GAGUUCGAGGGCAGGGGUCUUGAACUUACUCGAUUUCUUCACGAAUCAUCCUCAGGUUGAAAUUGGGGGUGAAUUUUAGCCCUAAACUUGUUGAAAUUGUCAAUCUUCGACGAAUUCUUCUUGAAUCUUCAUAAGAUUAUGCUAUGGGAUUGACCGGCUGCUGCUGUGCCUGCUCUUGUUCGACUGCAAGCUGCUGCGCUACUUGUUGUGAUCUUGUUUGACUUUUCCAAUCUUCAUCA